CCUGUAUCACGUGAGAAAAAUCAAAUCACAGUUGGAACUAGUUGUACACAACAUAUAUUGAUGUAACAUGACCAUCAUAAGAACCAGCAGUUGACAAAUCCCUUGACCCUGCAGCAAUACCAGAUUAAUGCCACGGUUUAACCUUGCCAACAAAACCAAUGCAAGGCAUAACAUAAACCAAGGCAAUGCCUUCUGCAGCAUCACUAGCAACCAUGUCCUACAACAUACAACAACAUCCCAAG
rnacentral:lncRNA from 1 species